UACGUAGGGGGCAAGCGUUGUCCGGAUUUAUUGGGCGUAAAGAGCGUGUAGGCGGCCUGGUAGGUCAGCUGUGAAAACUCGAGGCUCAACCUCGAGACGCCGGUUGAAACCAUCAGGCUAGAGUCCGGAAGAGGAGAGUGGAGUUCCCGGUGUAGCGGUGAAAUGCGCAGAUAUCGGGAAGAACACCCGUGGCUAAGGCGGCUCUCUAGUACGGUACUGACGCUGAGACGCGAAAGCGUGGGGAGCGAACAGG
rnacentral:rRNA from 1 species